UACGGGGGGGCAAGCGUUGUUCGGAAUUACUGGGCGUAAAGGGCUCGUAGGUGGCCAACUAAGUCAGACGUGAAAUCCCUCAGCUUAACUGGGAACUGCGUCUGAUACUGGAUGGCUUGAGUUCGGAGAGGGAUGCGGAAUUCCAGGUGUAGCGGUGAAAUGCGUAGAGAUCAUGAGGAAGACCAGUGGCGAAGGCGGGUCUCUGGACAGUUCCUGACACUGAGGCACGAAGGCCAGGGAGCAAACGGG
rnacentral:rRNA from 1 species